GUGGGGAAUUUUGGACAAUGGGCGCAAGCCUGAUCCAGCCAUUCCGCGUGCAGGAUGAAGGCCUUCGGGUUGUAAACUGCUUUUGUACGGAACGAAAAGCCUCUGGUUAAUACCCGGGGGUCAUGACGGUACCGUAAGAAUAAGCACCGGCUAACUACGUGCCAGCAGCCGUGGUAAUACGUAGGGUGCGAGCGUUAAUCGGAAUUACUGGGCGUAAAGCGUGCGCAGGCGGUGAUGUAAGACAGUUGUGAAAUCCCCGGGCUCAACCUGGGAACUGCAUCUGUGACUGCAUUGCUGGAGUGCGGCAGAGGGGGAUGGAAUUCCGCGUGUAGCAGUGAAAUGCGUAGAUAUGCGGAGGAACACCGAUGGCGAAGGCAAUCCCCUGGGCCUGCACUGACGCUCAUGCACGAAAGCGUGGGGAGCAAACAGGAUUAGAUACCCUAGUAGUCC
rnacentral:rRNA from 1 species